rnacentral:rRNA from 1 species
AUUGAACGCUGGCGGCAGGCCUAACACAUGCAAGUCGAGCGAGCGGCGGACGGGGGUGUAAUGUAUGGGGAUCUGCCCGCUAGAGGGGGAUAACUACUGGAAACGGUUGCUAAUACCGCAUACUAUCGGAUGAACCCAUAUGGGAUUAGCUAGUGGGUGGGGUAAAGGGGCACCUGGGCGAAGAUCUCUAGCUGGUCUGAGAGGAUGAUCACCCACACGGGGACGGAGACACGGCCCAGACGCCUACGGGAGGAAGCAGUGGGGAAUAGUGCCAAAUGGGGGCAAGCCUGAUGCAGCCAUGCCGCGUGUGUGAAGAAGGCCUUCGGGUUGUAAAGUACGUUCAGGGAGUAGGCGUUACCCGCAGAAGAAGCACCGGCUAACUCCGUGCCAGCAGCCGCGGUAAUUC